GACUCUGUGGUGAAGUUCAUGUUGAGUUGCAAGCUCAUUGAUGCACGCUGAAGGUGUGCCGGAGUCU
rnacentral:tRNA from 1 species